rfam:Peptococcaceae bacterium BRH_c23 BRHa_1005840, whole genome shotgun sequence.
GUCAACAACCACUACCCUAAAGGGAUAGUGGCUUGUAGGUAACUACAAGCCACAGGUUGACUAGACUAAGCAUUAACUUGCUACGUUAUGUAAGCCAUCAUACCCGUGGACGUUUAUCCUAAUCUACGGCUCUAUGGUCUAACAUUAAACAGUUUUGCGUGGUAGAAACAGUGUGUUAGACAUGACAAACUUAUGUAACUUUGUCUAAGGAUAGUUAAC